rnacentral:rRNA from 1 species
GUUCCAGCAGCCGCGGUAAUACGAAGGGGGCUAGCGUUGUUCGGAAUCACUGGGCGUAAAGCGCACGUAGGCGGAUCUUUAAGUCAGAGGUGAAAUCCCAAGGCUCAACCUUGGAACUGCCUUUGAUACUGGAGAUCUUGAGUCCGGGAGAGGUGAGUGGAACUGCGAGUGUAGAGGUGAAAUUCGUAGAUAUUCGCAAGAACACCAGUGGCGAAGGCGGCUCACUGGCCCGGUACUGACGCUGAGGUGCGAAAGCGUGGGGAGCAAACAGGAUUAGAUACCCCUGUAGUCC